rnacentral:rRNA from 1 species
UAAGGAAUAUUGGUCAAUGGACGCAAGUCUGAACCAGCCAUGCCGCGUGAAGGAUGAAGGUCCUCUGGAUUGUAAACUUCUUUUAUCUGGGACGAAAACGGGAUUUUUAUCUCAAUUGACGGUACCAGAGGAAUAAGCACUGGCUAACUCCGUGCCAGCAGCCGCGGUAAUACGGAGGGUGCGAGCGUUAUCCGGAUUUACUGGGUUUAAAGGGUGCGUAGGUGGGCUUAUAAGUCAGUGGUGAAAUCUCCGAGCUUAACUUGGAAACUGCCGUUGAUACUAUAGGUCUUGAAUUAUCUGGAGGUAAGCGGAAUAUGUCAUGUAGCGGUGAAAUGCUUAGAUAUGACAUAGAACACCAAUUGCGAAGGCAGCUUACUACAUAUAAAUUGACGCUGAGGCACGAAAGCGUGGGGAUCAAACA